GAUGAACGCUGGCGGCGUGCCUAAUACAUGCAAGUCGAGCGAACGGACGAGAAGCUUGCUUCUCUGAUGUUAGCGGCGGACGGGUGAGUAACACGUGGAUAACCUACCUAUAAGACUGGGAUAACUUCGGGAAACCGGAGCUAAUACCGGAUAAUAUUUUGAACCGCAUGGUUCAAAAGUGAAAGACGGUCUUGCUGUCACUUAUAGAUGGAUCCGCGCUGCAUUAGCUAGUUGGUAAGGUAACGGCUUACCAAGGCAACGAUGCAUAGCCGACCUGAGAGGGUGAUAGGCCACAAUGGAACGUAGAAACGGUUCAGACUCCUAAGGGAGGAAGCAGUAGGGAAUCUUCCGCAAUGGGCGAAAGCCUGACGGCGCAAAGCAGCGUGAGUGAUGAAGGGGUUCGGAUCGUAAAACUCUGUUAUUAGGGAAGAACAUAUGUGUAAGUAACUGUGCACAUCUUGACGGUACCUAAUCAGAACGCCACGGCUAGCUACGUG
rnacentral:rRNA from 1 species